rnacentral:rRNA from 1 species
GAUGAACGCUAGCGGCAGGCCUAACACAUGCAAGUCGAGGGGUAACUAGAGUGAUAGCAAUAUUACUUUGGCUAGACCGGCGCACGGGUGCGUAACACGUAUGCAACCUACCUUAUACUGAGGAAAAACUUCGAGAAAUCGGCGCUAAUACCACAUCACAUUGCGAAGCGGCUCCUCUUUUCAAUUAAAGCUCCGGCGGUAUAAGAUGGGCAUGCGUCCAAUUAGCUAGUUGGUGAGGUAACGGCUCACCAAGGCUACGAUUGGUAGGGGUUCUGAGAGGAUGAUCCCCCACACUGGUACUGAGACACGGACCAGACUCCUACGGGAGGCAGCAGUGAGGAAUAUUGCGCAAUGGACGAAAGUCUGACGCAGCCAUGCCGCGUGCAGGAUGACGGCCCUAUGGGUUGUAAACUGCUUUUGUACGGGAAUAAACCCUUCUACGUGUAGGAGGCUGAAGGUACCGUAAGAAUAAGCACCGGCUAACUCCGUGCCAGCAGCCGCCGCCGUAA